AGAAUCAACGCUGGCGGCGUGCCUAACACAUGCAAGUCGCACGAGAAAGGGACUUCGGUCCUGAGUAAAGUGGCGCACGGGUGAGUAACACGUGAAUCAUCUACCUCCGAGUGGGGAAUAACCUAGAGAAAUCUGGGCUAAUACCGCAUAACACUUACGAGUCAAAGCAGCAAUGCGCUUGGAGAGGAGUUCGCGGCAGAUUAGUUAGUUGGCGGGGUAAUGGCCCACCAAGACGAUGAUCUGUAUCCGGCCUGAGAGGGCGCACGGACACACUGGAACUGAAACACGGUCCAGACUCCUACGGAGGCAGCAGUGGGGAAUUUUGCGCAAUGGGGGAAACCCUGACGCAGCAACGCCGCGUGGAGGAUGAAGCCCCUUGGGGUGUAAACUCCUUUCGAUCGGGAAGAUAAUGACGGUACCGAUAUAAGAAGCCCGGCUAACUUCGCGCCAGCAGCCGC
rnacentral:rRNA from 1 species